rnacentral:rRNA from 1 species
UACGUAGGGUGCAAGCGUUAAUCGGAAUUACUGGGCGUAAAGCGUGCGCAGGCGGUUUGGUAAGUCUGUUGUGAAAUCCCCGAGCUCAACUUGGGAAUUGCAAUGGAUACUGGCAGGCUGGAGUAUGGUAGAGGAAGGUGGAAUUCCCGGUGUAGCAGUGAAAUGCGUAGAGAUCGGGAGGAACACCAGUGGCGAAGGCGGCCUUCUGGACCAAUACUGACGCUCAUGCACGAAAGCGUGGGGAGCAAACAGG